CGAGGUACCAGUUUUGAACCAAUCAGACGUAGGAGGGCGGGUUCGAUCGAUAGUGCUGUAAUUGUGAAGCAAGGCUUGUUGUUGUUGUGGUGUACGAGGGAACGUUUGGUUUGGAAAAUAUUUUACGAAGACCGUUUAGACCAGUAGCGUGGCAACUUUAAAAUCUCGGUAGCUGAUUUUUACACCAGUCUGACAGAAGAACAGAUUGAUGCAGAAGUCCUUCCGAUACUCCUGAAGCACCCCGACACUGGGUACAGAAUGAUGCAGGGAUUCCUUCGAGGGGAAGGAAUCCGUAUUACAGAUGCAUCAGUCAUGGAAUCCAUGGAGAGGGUUGAUCCUGAAGGCGUUUUAGAGCGUGCCUUGUCCCUGCACACAGUGAGAAGAUCCUACAGUGUGCAGCACCGCAGAGUCUGUGGCACAUUGAUGGCAACCAUAAACUCAUUAGGUGGCGGAUAGUAGUACAUGGUGGAAUUGAUGGAUACAGCAGGAUGGUAGUUUACCUGAAAGCUGCAGCUAAUAACCGUGCUGCAACGGUGUUCCAGUCUUUCUUCAAUGCCGUACAAGAAUAUGGGCAACCAUCUAGAGUUCGUUCAGAUAAAGGAUUGAGCGCUUGUGGCAUGAUGUUUUCAUCUGCGUGUUGGAAACCUUUACCACAUGUUCUACGAGAUGGAUGCCAGGAGUGUGUGGCACCCUGAAAAUGAAGUGCACUUGUUUGCACUUCACUGGGUCUUUCUUCCCCAGUUGCAAAACCAUUUAGAAUUUUUCAGAAGAGGCUGGAACCAUCACCGCAUACGGUCAGCAGGAAAUCGGUCACCACUGCAAAUGUGGAUCAGAGGAAAAUCUUCUGGGAUAUCAUCUGACCCCCGACAGGUAUUGUAAAGGACUUGUAGCUAUGUGCCCCGUAAUAAUUGUGUAAAAGGAAGAAAAAAUCCAGGGUAAACAGAUAUGGAAGAAAUACUUUUUGUUUGGUUGUUGUUUUU